UUUUUUUUUUUUGUAUUAAAAGUGCAUGUGUUCUUGUAGUGGAGGCUCAGCCUCGUUCCUCUUGUGAACAGUGAGCCGUCAGAAGUUACGAUUGAAUGGUAGAUGGUUCUGUAUCAAAAUGAUCUUGUUUGUGGGGAUGUGAAGGAGGCCUUCUUUGAGAUUCUGCAAUGUUUCUGUGUUUUUUACUUGGAAACCAAAUAACAUGCGUUGAUGGCCAGUGAAAGACUUCUUUUCCAUGCUUGACUGAGUAGAAGAGUUUACAGAAUGACACCGUUGUGGGUAAACACUAUGCAAUAUGUUAUUAAACUAAAUUUGGAAGCUUCUAGAAGGUUAGAGUGAUUGCCUAUGAAGACAUAUUUCACCCCUACCAUUUUUACUUUUUAGGUAACUGUGAGCAGCAUAAUGAAUUUGUUCACAAGGCAUCAGAACACAUUUUAUCAAAUUAAAUGUUGUAUAGCUGAACGUAUGUCCAAAAACCUAGAGGAAAAUAAAGGAAGUGAGGCCUGAAGUCUGCUUCUGGCCCACAGAGGGGUCCUAAAGGUGCUUUCUAACAUGCCAACAUUGUAGUUACUUCUAAACCAUCUGGCUCAGGUUUCCAGUAAAGUGGAGGGUAGCAGGGUGUGUUACAGUCAUUUGAGACCAGGGUUGUGGACCUGGAAGGUGUACUGUAGGUUGUGACAAGUUCUUGAAAUUUGCUCCAGGCUGUGAGGUAUGGUAAAGUCAGUUUAAAGACCCUCUUAACAGCACUAGUUUUUGCUUUCUGUGAUAAAGUGGAAUUCUGAGUUACCAAGAGAUAAAUUCAUAUUUCAAAGGUGUGUUGAGGAUUGUUACAGUUUUGGAAGAGGUGGAAGAAAGUGUUAACAGUUGCAUAGGGUUGUAUUCUGACAUAUCAUAGAGAGGCUCACCCAGUUGUUCACUAACACCAGAAACCUUGUCUGUUUUGUUUCCUGAUAAUCCCCACUACUUACCAUAGUUCUCACAGAAUUUUCUUUUCAGAUUUUUUAAAAAAAUCAAAUGAAUAGUAUUGGUAUGAGAAACACUAGUUAGUUAUUAAAAAUUACUUGAUGUCUUACAUUGAAGAGGGAUUUUCAUUCUCUUUUUAAGUCUUAAUGCAUUUAAAACUUUAGGUGUUGACACAUGUUACUGACUUUAUAGGUGGUAUAGACAGAUGGCCAUUCUGUGCUGCUGGGUAUAUCUGGAUCAUUUGUGGCAUUAAUGGCUGUUGGGAUAUUACUUCUCUGUACUCAAGUUUCCUCAUUUACAUAAUUUAGAACUCAUACUGAGGCCAAGUUUUUACAUAUUUUAAGUAUAUAUUUUUUAAAAAUAUGGGUAUUUAAAAGAAAUAACAACUCAGGCUAAAAUUUCCAAGAGUUUGAGAUGACUGUGGGCCAGCCACAUAAGCAAGUACCACAUUAGCCAGGGCUUUAUAGGAAGAUCCUAUCUUAAAAAUUGAAAACAGAAGCAGAAGAGAUGGCUUACUGGGUAAAGACACAUGCUUCAGGGGCUGACAACUUGAGUUUGAUCCCCUGGACCCAUGUGGUGGGAGGAGAGAACAAAACUCUAAGUUGUCUGACCUCCACAUGUGUGCACUGACACAUAUGCACACACACACACACACACACACACACACACACGAGAAACUCAAAAAGAAAUAAAACUCUUAUAAAUUUGUCCUAAGAUUCCAGAAAGAGUAUUCUGUUCUUGAGUUUUGCUUUUAGCUUAUGGAUUUUAUACAUUUCCCAAAAAUGCUCAGGAAAUUGAGUGCAUGUUGCAAGUAUGCAGAAACAGUACUCGUAUGCUGUUGUAAUUCUCUUUAUGUUGAAAUCGAGUCAAUUUCACAGAGGGCACUUCAUAAUCUGGUAUGAAGACACAAUUCUAAGAAUGUUUGGGAGAAGUUUGUGCACAUUUUAUGUCUAGUUGUUUCUUACGGAUUACCCAGUUAUAUAUUUUAAAUAGUGAAUUUGUUUUUAUAUUUUAGAAAUUAUGUCUAUUUCUGAGUAUGAGUGUAGGUGCACAUAUGCAAUGGUGAACAUGUGUAGGUCAGAGGACAGCUUGUAGGAGUUGAUUCUCUCCAUCAUGUGUGUCUGAAACUCAGGUUGCAGGUUUGGUUGUCAGUGCUUCUAUCUCCUAAGCUAGCUCCUUAGAGCAUUGGUGGUGAAUUUUAUGUAAUUUCAUAAUCAGUGAAACCAAUUUAAAAUGAAGUUUGAGCUAAGGUUCUCAGUAAUUCAAGACUACUACAUGCCAUUGCUAUUUUUAAUCUUAAUUUUGCGAUCUUGAUACUAGUGUGCUUUCAUUUUCAUUUUUUGUACUGUAUGAAGAAACAAAAGCCUUUUAAAGUUGACAUUUUAAAGUUUUAUUUGAUAAAAAUAAAGAUUGUUUUAGUGUGAUAGUGGAUAGCUCAGGAAGUCUCAAGUCUGCCUAGUGCUGCUCCUUAGCCCUUUUGUUUUUGGCAAGCCAUAGAACAUUCCCUCAUUAUUAAAGGAAGAACAAUGUUUUCUUAUUUCACAGGUUGUGAGGGAAGAGCAAUGGAAUGGCACAUAAAAAACAAGCUAAAUAAUGUAAUGAUAGAAUCCUAUUGCAUUAGAAUUCUUUUUUUAAAAAGUUUUUCAUGAAAGAGUUGAAUUGUCUAGCUAGGCAGUGGUGGCUCAUGCUUUUAAUCCCAACACUCAGGAGGCCUAGGCAGGUGCAUCUCUGAGUUCGUGGACAGCCUGGUCUACAGAGUGAGUUCUAGGACAGCUAGGGCUACACAGAGAAACCCUGUCUCAUCCUUGACCUCCCAGUAAACACAAUUGGCUAGUGAGCAGAAGUCAACCAGGAACAUGUUAAAUGCAGAAUUUCCUGAUGCCACUGGGAAGGCAGCUGAAGUGGAGAAACCCUUGAGUACUUGUAUCUGUUACAGAAAGAGUCAUGGGGUUGCAGGGGCUGCAGUAGAGUGGAGCCCGUCUUGCAGGGUGAGUUCUUGUUGGGAACUGGAAUUGAAGUAAAGCCAUCAAUUCAAAUGCCAUAAGGAUCAAGUGGAAUACACUUCACUGUAUUUGAUCUCUUUCUUAUUUUGGAGCUGUGAUGGAAGGUGGUUGGAGCAAAGAGCUUAGCAUGUUCUGUGUAAAAGUUAUAGAAGUGUGUUUUUGUUUCUUUUUAAAGUUUUUAAAAUUUUGUAUGUAUGUGGGUAUACCAUGUAUGUGCAGGAGCCUGCAGAGGUCAGAGAGAUGUCAGAUCCCCUGGAGCUGGAGUUACAGAUGAUUAUAAGCCUCCAUAUGGUUUCUGGGAACCAAACCCAGGGCCUCUACAAUUUCUCCAGCCCCAGAACUGUAUUUUCUGAAUGGCAAGUGGCAUAUUGCAGGGUAAUGAAGUCAGUGUGGUUACUG
rnacentral:lncRNA from 1 species